UUAUUGGAGAGUUUGAUCCUGGCUCAGGAUGAACGCUGGCGGCGUGCCUAAUACAUGCAAGUCGAGCGAAUGGAUUAAGAGCUUGCUCUUAUGAAGUUAGCGGCGGACGGGUGAGAAGUCGGAUCGGAGCCCCGUCGGUCUGGGGGCCAAGGGGUUG
rnacentral:rRNA from 1 species